rnacentral:rRNA from 1 species
CCUGGCGGCAACAGCGCGGUGGUCCCACCUGACCCCAUGCCGAACUCAGAAGUGAAACGCCGUAGCGCC